AGCAGCCGCGGUAAUUCCAGCUCCAAUAGCGUAUAUUAAAGUUGUUGCAGUUAAAAAGCUCGUAGUUGAAUUUCGGGAUCAAUAUGUUGGUCGUGCCUCGGUACGUACUAGCUUAUUGGUUUCUCCUUUCUGAAGAACCAUGAUGUCAUUUAUUUGGUGUCGUGGGGAAUCAGGACUGUUACUUUGAAAAAUUAGAGUGUUUAAAGCAGGCUCACGCUUGAAUACAUUAGCAUGGAAUAAUGAAAUAGGACGUUUGAUUCUAUUUUGUUGGUUUCUAGGAUCGACGUAAUGAUUAAUAGGGAUAGUUGGGGGCAUUAGUAUUCAAUUGUCAGAGGUGAAAUUCUUGGAUUUAUUGAAGACUAACUACUGCGAAAGCAUUUGCCAAGGAUGUUUUCAUUAAUCAAGAACGAAAGUUAGGGGAUCGAAGACGAUCAGAUACCGUCGUAGUCUUAACCAUAAACUAUGCCGACUAGGGAUCGGAUGAUGUUAAUUUUUAAUGUACUCAUUCGGCGCCU
rnacentral:rRNA from 1 species